rnacentral:hammerhead_ribozyme from 1 species
AUUCAGCUGAUGAGUCGUGAACAGGACUAAACUUGCGUCCUGGAU